rnacentral:miRNA from 1 species
AAGACGGACAAUCAAACGUUGGAC